UACGAGUGGUACGAGCGUUAUUCGGAUUUAUUGGGCGUAAAGGGCGCGUAGGUGGCACACUCAGUCAACUGUUAAAUUCUCCGGCCCAACUGGAGGUCAGCGGUAGAUACUGGUGAGCUAGAGGAUGAGAGAGAGAAGUGGAAUUCUCGGAGUAGCGGUAAAAAUGCGUAGAUAUCGAGAGGAACACCAAUGGCGAAGGCAGCUUCUUGGCUCAUUCCUGACACUGAGGCGCGAAAGCGUGGGGAGCAAACAGG
rnacentral:rRNA from 1 species